rnacentral:tRNA from 1 species
GGGUCGCUAGCUCAGUUGGUAGAGCAACGGACUUUUAAUCCGCAGGUCCCGGGUUCGAGCCCCGGGCGACCCAC